GGAGGAGGGGGAGGAGAAGGAAGAAAAAGAAGUGGAGGAGGAGGAGGAGGAAGAAGAAGGGCAGUUCAGCCGGCGCCCCAGGCUCCCCGCGCUGCGCUCAAUUCGGGCGCACGCUGCGCUCCGCUCGGGCGCACUGUGCGCCCCUCCCUUCUCCCCCUCCUCUCUUCCGUCCCCCUAGAUCCCUCUCUUCUCGCCUCUGUCCCCCCUCCCUUCUUCUCUUCCCUCCUCCCUUCCCCUCGCCUGCCCGGCCCGGCCCGGCCCGGCAGGCGUCCACCUGACAGCCGCAUUCAUCCUGUGAUGAUGGCUGGCCAUGGAUGAUGGGUACCUUUAAUAAUAGAGCGCUCCCUCAGCUGUCACCCGGCAAGCACGAUUUCUCCUCCCGCUUCCCGCGAUGCAGAGAUACAUCGGUCACUGUAGUCUAUGGGGCAGUCCUGUUGGGUAGUGAAGAGUCCUGAGCUGAGGAAGUCAGGAGGCCUGGAUUCCGCUGUGUCUUCUACCGCCAACUAUCUAUGUGACCUUGGGCAAGUUGUUGAGGUCUAGUGUGAUGGAAAGAAUGUAGGACUUGGAAUCAGGAGAGACCAGCAUCGAAAUCCCACUUCUGCAACUUAGAGUGACCAUGGCCAGGUGGACAGCCAGAGUGCUCCACUGGUAUCCUGAAGACGUCAGAAGAGAGGCCCCCUAAGGGGCCCCAGCCAAUGCUCAGAUCCCAACGUUCUCUCUUCCAUUGAUAGGAUCCCCAAACUGGACCACACCGUGCUUAGAGAUCUGUGAGAUUAGAGAACUGAGAAAGUGGGCCUUGGUCUUCUUCUCCAUGAAGCUGUCCUUUGGAGGCCCCCAUCUCCACAUGGCAGACAGGACAGGGACUAUAAAUUCCAUUUUAGAGUCAAUGAAACCAAUAUUGAGAGAAGUUACAUAA